UACCUGUUGGGGAAUGAAGAUCAGGAAGGAUGUUUUGGUCUUGAAAGUCACAGAGAUGCUGAGUGGAAUAACAGGUCAAUCAGUUGUCAAGCCCCCUCCAGAAGCAAUGGCAACGUUGAUUUGAUUCUAAUUCACAGAGCCAGAAGAGGACGCUAGAAGAAAGGGGGGUAUGUUUAUGGGCCAGGAUAAAGGAGCAUGGAUAGGACUUUUCCAGCUGGAUAUAUUAGGAUCCCAUCCAUGAGGUCAGCCCAGUCCCAGGGCAGUUUCUCCCCCUGGGGGGUCUGGAGGUCCAGUUGGAGGGUGGAGCAGCAAAUACCAAAAGUGAAAGAACAUGGCUUGGCCAACUAUAGUGAGAAGGUUAGAUCUUCAACCAAAAUUGGGAAGUUCAGAAAAAAGGUAAGUUUGGAGAGGAAAGAUAGUUUUGUUUUGAACAUGGUAAGUUUGAGAUGCCCAUAAGACAUCACUAGAUGCCCUCUCUGAAAACAGCUUUGCAGCUUGCCAUAACACCAGGUGCUGAGGGCAUCUCAUGGGCCUUCCGUUCUGUCUCUCCAGCAGACAGAUGAAGCUGCACAGACAGACAGCCAACAGCUACAUUCCUCAGAGAACACAGACAAGCAGCAGCCCAAGAGAUUACACGUCUCCAACAUCCCCUUCCGGUUCAGGGAUCCUGAUCUACGGCAAAUGUUCGGGCAAUUCGGAAAAAUUUUAGACGUGGAGAUCAUUUUUAACGAACGGGGCUCCAAGGUAAAUAACGCCACAGCCCGAGUUAUGACCAACAAGAAGACCACAAAUCCCUACACAAAUGGUAAG